rnacentral:rRNA from 1 species
AUUGAACGCUGGCGGAAUGCUUUACACAUGCAAGUCGAACGGCAGCACGGGGGCAACCCUGGUGGCGAGUGGCGAACGGGUGAGUAAUACAUCGGAACGUGCCCGGUCGUGGGGGAUAACGUAGCGAAAGUUACGCUAAUACCGCAUACGAUCUGAGGAUGAAAGCGGGGGACCUUCGGGCCUCGCGCGAUCGGAGCGGCCGAUGUCAGAUUAGGUAGUUGGUGGGGUAAAGGCCUACCAAGCCGACGAUCUGUAGCUGGUCUGAGAGGACGACCAGCCACACUGGGACUGAGACACGGCCCAGGCUCCUACGGGAGGCAGCAGUGGGGAAUUUUGGACAAUGGGCGCAAGCCUGAUCCAGCCAUUCCGCGUGCAGGACGAAGGCCUUCGGGUUGUAAACUGCUUUUGUAUGGAACGAAAAGGCUCUGGCUAAUACCUGGGGCUCAUGACGGUACCGUAAGAAUAAGCACCGGCUAACUACGUG